rnacentral:rRNA from 1 species
CGCCUGUUUAUCAAAAACAUCGCCUCUUGCAACUCACAUAUAAGAGGUAACGCCUGCCCAGUGACCAUGUGUUCAACGGCCGCGGUAUUCUGACCGUGCAAAGGUAGCGUAAUCACUUGUCUUUUAAAUAAAGACUAGUAUGAAUGGCAUCACGAGAGUUCAACUGUCUCCCCCACCCAAUCAGUGAAACUGAUCUCCCCGUGCAGAAGCGGGGAUAAAACCAUAAGACGAGAAGACCCCAUGGAGCUUUAAACUAAAGGCACUAGCUCUUAAUUUACCCCAAGGACAAAACAUUAAACCAGUUAAAGUGACCUGUCGUUUUCGGUUGGGGCGACCACGGAGAAGAACAAAUCCUCCGAGAUGAAAGGGUAAACCCUUAGCCAAGACCCACAAUUCUAAGCAAUAGAACAUCUAACGCACCGAUCCAAUCAAAUUGAUCAACGAACCAAGUUACCCUGGGGAUAACAGCGCAAUCUAUUUUCAGAGUUCAUAUCGACAAAUAGGUUUACGACCUCGAUGUUGGAUCAGGGCCUCCUAGCGGUGCAGCCGCUGCUAAGGGUUCGUUUGUUCAACGAUUAAAGCCCUACGUGAUCUGAGUUCAGACCGGA